UUAAAGAAGACAGCACUCUGAAUAGAAUGAGAAAGACAGAAAGAAGCUUCAGAAUGUGGAUCAAAACCGUACCUCUUAGGCCCUGUGAGAGCACCAGAUCUGUCUGAUGUGGAUCCUCCGGCUGGCGAAGUGCCAGAAAGUGCUGAAAAGUACAUGCAAAAAGGGAUGGCCACGGAGGAUGAGAGCCCUACCGUCCCCACCCUAACUGGCCCUGGGAUGCUGUUCCUUCUUCGCUUGGCCUCCUGGAACACUGCCAACUUGGGCAGUUCUCAAGUUGUAGACACUCAUCAAUGAAAUGACCAGCUGGGGGGAAGAUACCCACAGAGAGAACUCUGACCAGCCUGGAGGGGAAAACCAUGUAGAAGUGAAUAUGGUCAAAGUCAAAAUCGUUAUGAUCAUAAGGCUGCAAUAUCUGUUUCUUCUCCACUUUUAAAGCAUUUGUGGACCAACAAGCAAAGGUACAUUGAAGUCAAAAACUGCCUUUUCUUCCCAGAGAUACACAUUCCAGCAACAUCUAGAAAAGGAGAUCGAAUUAACCAGUAAUUUACUCAUUUGCUUCAAAUUAAUUUUC